GCGCCUGCAACCACAGUCCGCAGAAGCGAGACGAACCCCCUAGCGGCGGGCGAGGCGACAGACGGCGAGGUCCCGCGGAGGUUCGAUGCGGGAGCCGGGUAGGUGACGGUGGUGGUGACGGGGCCACGUUCACGGUCAGCCGGAGGACCUAAGUCUAGAGUGCGGAAGACGGAGGAGCUGCCACGGUGACUCAUCUCUCGGGUCGCUGCCACCAGCAGGCAGGUGCAGGUGCUGUCACCAGCCAUCGCCACCGCCACCUCCGGCAGCAUAUAAUGAGCAAGUGACGUCGGUUGGCUGGGCUGUAGAGGCAGACCAUUGAUUCCACUGUCCACGAAUUCAGAGUACACUAUGAGCCAAUCUUCAACUCCUUCAACGCCGAUGUCAUCUCCGCUGGUGGCCACAUGUGGCAGGUCAUCUUCUCUCAGUGUGGGGAAGACGAGUCUGGCAAGGCUGAGUGAAUCCGGAAACGUCUAUGCCAUGUUUGAGACAUUCUUACUGCACAGGAAUGGCCAGCCACGUCAUGUGAAUUCAGGAACAUGUUCCAUUCGUCCAUUAACUGGCCUUCGUCUGUUCAAAAGUGACUGUCCUGAAUGGAUCCCCUGGAAGCACAACAUUUUACGGAGUGAUCUGGAGAGAGAGAGUACGUGACAAAUGGACAUUUCACCUUUAUAUGUGUCAUCAUGAUUGUUUGUGAUAAAUCUAUUCCUGUGCCAGCUUCAGACAUUGGAAAACAGUUUGGCUCACUAUUGGAUAGCUCGGAUGGGACAGAUGUCUCGUCCGUCAUUGGAACUGAGACAUUCCAUGCACACCGAGCGGUGCUUGCUGCCCGUUCUCUGGUUUUCAAAGCCGAGCUCCUUGGUCUCCUUGGUCCUAUGGUUGAGUCCACAAUGUCGUCCAUCACCCUACACGACAUUGCCCCAACAACAUUCAGAGCCAUGCUUUGGUUUGUUUACACAGAUGCCUUCCCAGGAGCUGACAAGCUUGGGGACUCUCCUUCUGAGAUGGUGCAGCAUCUGUUAGCUACGGCUGACCGGUUUGCAUUGGACCGGCUUAAGCUUAUGUGUGCGCAGAAAUUAUGAGAAGGGGUUUCUGUCGAUACGGUUACUGGAAUCUUAGCUUGUGCUGAAAUGUAUAGCUGCCUAGAGUUGAAGAACAAGUGCAUUGACUUCUUUGCAUCAGAGAAGAAUUUUAAGAAGGCUGUGUUGACCAAGGGUUUUGUGCAGUUGGGUCAGGAGUUCCCUUCAAUUAUUGAUGAGCUACGACAGAGGAUUGGGUUAUGACUGUGUGAGAAGGCUCCGUGUACAUAAUUGGAGUGGUCAAGGAUAGCCGAAUAUGGUGUUUGGAUAUUUUGGUCUAGUGUUUCUAUAGAUUUUCGAGCAUAAUGGGGCAUUGAAAUCUUCUUCUUUCAGUAUUGAACUUGCUGCCAUGUGAGGCAAUGUGGAGGAUAUUGUCACUUACUAUCAGGUUCAGCUCUCCAAGGCUAUAGUGGCGAGGUGGAUGUUGUCGCUCGGAUCAGGUUCAAAGUUAUGGAGCUAUGGUUCAAAUCCGGUGUGAAGCUAAGGAGAUUAUGUUCGCUUAGUAGCCUAGUUUUAUUUUUGUUUCUGUAUUGUCUUGGGUCCUGUCCUGUCCUGAAUUUGGUCAUGCUUGAAGCUUUUGAGAUGUUCAGUUUUACUUUGCUGCAA